rnacentral:lncRNA from 1 species
AAUAACUCCUAUGACUCUAGGGUGGCCCAAACCAGGAAACUGCCCAGGUCCCAGGUCCGUAACAUUGACAACACAGUAUAGACCUUAUUCAGAUUUCACUAGUUUUCACACUCUCUUUUCAUGUGGGGUGUGUGUGUGUGUGUGACUCUUUGAGAUUUUAGCACACAUGUAGGUUGGGAAACCAAUUCCACAAUCAGAAAGCCGUGAAGAGAGACCCUGUGUACUACUUGAUAGUGAUUUCCUUUAUUACUGAGUUCUCAGUGUCAGAAAUCUUAGUUUAGCUAUUUAGUUUGCUAUUUCAGGCACCUGAAACUCUUAUGCAAAUGACUUUAGGGACCACAAUCUUGUGACUUCAUCUACUUCCCUCCCAGGGGUGGACAUGGUUAGUGUCACCAAGGCUUCGAUGACAAUUUUCAGACUUCGUCUUAGACUUCAUUUCUGAACCUCUCUCUCUCUUUUGUCAUUUGACAAUUUUUUUGAAAGUGUAUAUUCUUGCCAUUGUGCAGAAACAACCUAGAAGGAUUUUGAAACAGAAUUUCUGACCGUAGUUUCACAAUAGGAAAGAGUCCUAUGAAGGCAAUCUGGGAGCCUGGCUGGGGGGGCUGUGCGGGCGCAUAGUGUCACACGUCCCUAGACUUGCCUUCCUCUCCCUGUGCUUAUCUCUCUGGGUGCUGAGGCCUCCUACGCCCUCGGUCCUUCAGACUGCCUUUCACCCUAGCGACCUUCACGAGGACGCACUUCGGGCCCAUGUACCCUUAUGGAAAAUACGGCCCCAGGUUUCGCUCUUCUGAAGUCUACUUUGGGGGGCUUGGUUUCCUGUGUGUCUUCUGAGCUACAGGCGCUGCUUCUUCAGAGCUUGCCUCGGGACCUUUACAUGACCAUCCCCUGGGAGAGCCGAAAACUAAAGGAUUACUGGAACCAGCCCACGAGCAAAGUGUUUCAAAUAAAUAAAUAAUGACAUGUGUGCACUGAGUGUGACCAUCAUAAAUGACUAGGGAAGGUUACCAUAGAGAAGAGAGCAGAGUUCAACCCGGGAGAACAUGGCUGGGACAGUCUCAAGGACCUAAUUAAUUCUUCAAGGAAAAACAACCCUGAAAGUUGAUUUAAAAAGUAGAGAGUUCUUUUUCUUCACCUGGUGAGGAGCAAGUAAUCCAUAGAUGGAUUAUACAAAAUGACAAAGGCACUUUGGAAAACAGUUUAUAGUUAAAAAUAAAUCAGACUUCCUGGCAAUUCUGCUUCUAGGUAUCUACCUAAGAGAAAUGGAAACACAUGAUCCCAUAAAGACUUGCAUGAGAAUCUUCUUAGAAGUAUUUUUCAUAAUC